rnacentral:rRNA from 1 species
GACGAACGCUGGCGGCGUGCUUAACACAUGCAAGUCGAGCGGUAAGGCCCUUUCGGGGGUACACGAGCGGCGAACGGGUGAGUAACACGUGGGUGACCUGCCCUCAGCUCUGGGAUAAGCCUGGGAAACUGGGUCUAAUACUGGAUAUGACUCCACGGUGCAUGUCGUGGGGUGGAAAGCCUUGUGCGGCUGAGGAUGGGCCCGCGGCCUAUCAGCUUGUUGGGGGGUGAUGGCCUACCAAGGCGACGACGGGUAGCCGGCCUGAGAGGGCGACCGGCCACACUGGGACUGAGACACGGCCCAGACUCCUACGGGGGGCAGCAGUGGGGAAUCUUGCGCAAUGGGCGAAAGCCUGACGCAGCGACGCCGCGUGAGGAUGACGGCCU